rnacentral:rRNA from 1 species
GACGAACGCNGGCGGCGUGCUUAACACAUGCAAGUCGAACGGAGCGAAUGAAAGCUUGCUUUUAUGAGCUUAGUGGCAAACGGGUGAGUAACACGUAGACAACCUGCCGAUCAGAUGGGGACAACAUUCCGAAAGGAAUGCUAAUACCGAAUGGCGUGGAGGGAAGGCAUCUUCCUUUCAUGAAAGAUGGCCUCUAUUUAUAAGCUAUCACUGAUCGAUGGGUCUGCGUCUGAUUAGCUGGUAGGUAAGGUAACGGCUUACCUAGGCGACGAUCAGUAGCCGGUCUGAGAGGAUGAACGGCCACAUUGGGACUGAGACACGGCCCAGACUCCUACGGGAGGCAGCAGUGGGGAAUCUUCCGCAAUGGGCGCAAGCCUGACGGAGCAACGCCGCGUGAGUGAAGAAGGUCUUCGGAUCGUAAAGCUCUGUUGAAGGGGACGAACGAUCGAGGGGCGAACAGGCUCUCGGUANGACGG